UGAGUAACCUGCCCUUAACUCUGGGAUAAGCCUGGGAAACUGGGUCUAAUACCGGAUAUGACUCCUCAUCGCAUGGUGGGGGUGGAAAGCUUUUUGUGGUUUUGGAUGGACUCGCGGCCUAUCAGCUUGUUGGUGAGGUAAUGGCUCACCAAGGCGACGACGGGUAGCCGGCCUGAGAGGGUGACCGGCCACACUGGGACUGAGACACGGCCCAGACUCCUACGGGAGGCAG
rnacentral:rRNA from 1 species